rnacentral:rRNA from 1 species
UGGGGGAUAUUGCACAAUGGGCGAAAGCCUGAUGCAGCGACGCCGCGUGGGGGAUGAAGGCUUUCGGGUUGUAAACCUCUUUCGCUAUCGAACAAGGCCCGCUUAGGGUGGGUUGAGGGUAGGUGGAGAAGAAGCGCCGGCUAACUACGUGCCAGCAGCCGCGGUAAUACGUAGGGCGCGAGCGUUGUCCGGAAUUAUUGGGCGUAAAGGGCUUGUAGGCGGCUUGUUGCGCCUGCUGUGAAAACGCGGGGCUUAACUUCGCGCGUGCAGUGGGUACGGGCAGGCUUGAGUGUGGUAGGGGUGACUGGAAUUCCAGGUGUAGCGGUGAAAUGCGUAGAGAUGUGGAGGAAUACCGGUGGCGAAGGCGGCCCCCUGGACAAAGACUGACGCUCAGGUGCGAAAGCGUGGGGAGCAAACAGG